CCAUACCAUAAUAAGAAAAUAAAACCAGAAACAAAAGCAAAAUACAAUGGAAAAAACAAUAACUGGACAGAGACUACAACUGAAUAAACCACGUGACUAAAGUAAGAAAAACAGAAAAAACAAAAUACACAGGAAACAAAGCCAGAGACUA